AUUGAACGCUGGCGGCAGGCUUUACACAUGCAAGUCGAGCGAGCGGCGGACGGGUGAGUAAUGUAUCGGAAACUGCCGGGUAGAGGGGGAUAACUACUCGAAACGGUAGCUAAUACCGCAUACCAUCCGAUGGGCCCAGAUGGGAUUAGCUAGUAGGUGGGGUAAUGGCUUACCUAGGCGACGAUCCCUAGCUGGUCUGAGAGGAUGACCCGCCACACUGGAACUGAGACACGGUCCAGUCUCCUACGGGAGGCAGCAGUGGGGAAUUUUGCACAAUGGGCGCAAGCCUGAUGCAGCCAUGCCGCGUGUGUGAAGAAGGCCUUCGGGUUGUAAAGCACUUUCAUCAGGGAAGCGGUACCCGAAGAAUAAGCACCGGCUAACUCCGUGCCAGCCGCCGCGGUAAUAC
rnacentral:rRNA from 1 species